rnacentral:miRNA from 1 species
UCACCUGGGGGUCUUAUUAAAAUGCAGAUUCUGAUUGUGUAGGUCGGGCGGGGCCUGAGAUUCUGCAUUUCUAACAAGCUCCAGGUGAUGC